rnacentral:lncRNA from 1 species
CAGCGGGUCCCAGCUGACGGAAGCUGACAAGUUUAUUUAAUCCCUGAACCUGGAUCCAAGGCAUCUCCCUGUAGAAAACAUCAGACCGGGGCAGAGAUUGACAAAGCAACCCAAAGCAGCAGCUGCCAACGGCCGCUGUGCCCACCUCAUCAGCAGCUAAAGAGUAUAAUUUUAAAAAAAGUCACAGAAGAAUGUGGAGACACUUAGCAAAACGGACUCUCAUAAGAUUUGAGGAAACUCCUAAGGUCCCUCCAGUGUACAACAAUUUGGAACUUCCAUUUUCUCAACAACUGCUCUUCCAAGAUGCUGCCUCAUUUCAGAGCCAUGUUUUACUCAUGAGCUGGUCCUGUCCAGAAAACAGCCAAUGCUCAUUCCCGACACUUUCUUGUCACUGCUCUUUUCUGUUCCCUAUUUUGUCAGUAAGGAAGUAAACAACCGCUAAAACAACCCUCUAACAACAGAAGACCCUCAUGAGAACACCAGGCAGCAGAAGCUUCUUUAGCAGUAAAAGAUAUCUGGAUAUUCAUAUUUUGUUCCAUGAUCUUCAACAUUAAAUAAAUAAACUUAAUAUUCAAGUCU